GCAGAUUGAACAGGGGACGUUUAUUGACAAAUAAGACAAGCACGAUAGGAGGGAGUGGCUUGAACAGUCCAGACAGUAGGAAAGGGCGUACAACAGUGAAGCAGGCAGAUGGGGGGGGAUGACCGCCGAGGAGGGCCCUGGGUGCCAACCGAGCGCAGGACUGUAGAGGAGGCUGUGCUAGAGACCAGACCACAGCACCAGGAACCAAGGGCACUUGGCUAUGGAGGUGAAGCCACACAUGUCAGACCUCCAGGCAGGGAGACCCAGUGGCCAGGGAGAAAGCAGGAGGCAAGACAGGAACAGACAGAACUCACAAAACACUAGACAAGACUCAAGACAACAAGAGAACAAAAAUAGUAAUAAGAACAAAAAUAGUAAUAAUAAUAAUAAUAAUAAUAAUAAUAAUAAUAAUUCAAAACAAGAGCAAAAAGUCAGACAGGAAUGCUAUGACCUAGAAACAAGAUAAAAGGGGAGCUAGAGAAAUAACCAAAGCUGACUUACCAAAAGUAAAUUAAAAGGUAAAGAAACAAAUACAAAAUAGUUCUAGAAAUAACUGGAAAGACUAAAUCAAGAAACUCAAACUCAACAACAAAAACAAGUCAAACUCAAAAACAAAUCAAACUCAUGAGAAACUAAAAUAGAGAUCCAAACAAAAAGAAAAACUGAAACUGGACUAAACCGUGACCAGAUAAACUUAAACUAAUAAAUACCAGACUUUAACAGACAAAGAAAAUCUCGAUUAGUAAAGAUCAGCUAGCAAGCUAAGCAAACACUAACUCACACAGCAAAACGAACCAGCAAACACAUGAGGGAAAUGAGCACAAUAAAUAGGAAGGAAAGCACACCACACAAGGUGAGAACAAUCAAUUAAUGAGUGCCAAACAAGGACUAAACGAGGGGGCGUGGUAAUGUGAAACAAGGGGGCAGGACAAAAGGAGCACAUGGCCAACAUAAACAAAGACAAAGCCAUGUGGUCAUACACAGGACAAACAGAGAAACACUAAACAAAGACAAAAUAGACACAGCUGCCAGGGCAGAACCCUGACAGUU
ensembl:lncRNA